UGGCUCAGUUGGUAGAGCAUGGUGUUUGCAACGCCAGCGUUGUGGGUUUGAUUCCCAU
rnacentral:tRNA from 1 species